rnacentral:tRNA from 3 species
GCCCUCGUAUCCCAAUUGGCAGAGGAAACGGAUUCAAAACCCGUCCAGUGUGAGUUCGAGUCUCACCGAGGGCACCC